rnacentral:rRNA from 1 species
AGAGCGAACGCUGGCGGCAGGCCUAACACAUGCAAGUCGAGCGCCCGUAGCAAUACGGGAGCGGCAGACGGGAUAGUAACACGUGGGAACGCGCCCUUCGGUUCGGAAUAACUCAGGGAAACUUGAGCUAAUACCGGAUACGCCCUUACGGGGAAAGAUUUAUUGCCGAAGGAACGGCCCGCGUCCGAUUAGCUAGUUGGUGAGGUAAUGGCUCACCAAGGCGACGAUCGGUAGCUGGUCUGAGAGGAUGACCAGCAUCACUGGGACUGAGACACGGCCCAGACUCCUACGGGAGGCAGCAGUGGGGAAUAUGGACAAUGGGCGCAAGCCUGAUCCAGCCAUGCCGCGUGGAUGAUGAAGGCCUUAGGGUUGUAAAGCUCUUUCGCUAGGGACGAUAAUGACGGUACCUAGACAAGAAGCCCGGCUAACUUCGUGCCAGCAGCCGC